AUGAAGUGCCUUCACGAUCAUCUCUCAGAUGUAGCAAUCAUAAUGUUUGAUUCAGAAUUACAUAUAGCAGCAGACAUGUUGGCACUCUUUGUGGUUAGAGCCUGAAAAAGGGUCCUGGAUUUUUCAUUCAAUCAAGUCUUAGUGUGUUUGUCUCAAAAAUCAUGGGUAGCUAGAAAAAAGGAUAGCGGCACCAGCUGCUUUUCUCAUUAAAAGGCUAUAAAACUUGCCCCAUUGAUGAUUCUGCAUUUUAUAAUCAUCACCUGCAGUACUCCAUCGCUUUAUUAGAGGCAGGAAAAAAGAAGAAUGCUGAUAUCAAAAAGCUUCUCUUGAGAUUUUAAGAAAUUGGGUUGCUACUGUAAAUAGCAGACCUUUUGCUUUUGUAGGACUGCAUGUAGCAUCUCAUUUUAUUGCUGUCAAUUUUCUUUUCCACGAAAAAGAAACAUUACUGUUCAUUUGUAUGACUAAAAUACACUCUUGAAACCUUUUUCUAGCUAAAAUUCAUCUCUAGUUUGCUUCAGCGGUAAAAGAUCAAGAAUCUGGUCUCUUGAAACACAAUUUGCUCGCAUUCAUCAGCAAACAACAGGACCGUAUGAUCAUAGAUUCCUGAUCAAGCCCUGUCUUGGUUUAAGAGCUGCCCUCCUUUCUCUUGAGUGGUGGAGUUUUAAGUAUCAAACCUUCGCUCAUUGGUUUUGCGCUUCAUGUAAUGAUAGGGUUCUCCUGCCGCUGCUGCUGGAACAUGGUGAGAGAUGUGGGUGCUGUUACUUGGGGCAUUGAGGCAUGUGUGGCCUUUGUCAUGAGAAUAUUUGUCAAGCAAAUCGGAGUUUUAGGCUUGAGUGGCGGCAGGUCUGGAUACACAAGAAACCACAUUUCUUUUAUCCAAUCAUUGCAAAAAGCUCACUUCUUCUUCUUCCUCUUCUUCUGCUUCCUUGGCUUCUGGUAAAUGCUGGUGGGGCAUGGUGGUGAUAUUGGCUAGACGGCUCAAUCUCUUUAUUAUGAUAUAGGACUACUUACUAAUCUUUUGCUUUCACUUUUGUUACUAGCUUUCCUAUUUUUUUCCCUUUCCUUUCCUUUUUUUUUUUUUUGCUGAUAGUUUUGUUGAUAUGUAAUUGGCAUCCAAAUGUUCAUGUGGAAGUGCAACAAAAGGUUGGCAUGGCAUCUUUGAUUCUUGUUUCUUUCAAGUAAUACUAAUUAACUUGCUGUUUGGUGCUCUAGUUUUGUGCCUUGACUCCUGUUCAAGCAUUAGAACAAAUUUUACCCCAUAGAGAAAGUCAGAAAGAGGUAGAGGAUUUAAUUGCAGCAAAUGGGGGCACCUACCUUCUAUGUAAUUCGGUGAGUAAAAGCUUUAAAAUAUUGGGGUCCCCUAAAGCGUACAGACUUCAAUGUUUCAGCUCUGUUUCACUGUCAGUCUUUGCUUCUGUCCCUUUUGUUAAUUAAUUUUUCUUGGGAAAUGUAGGGGCUUGAUAGUUGAUAGUAUGUGCUCAAAUCCUCAAGGAAUUAUUAUGUCACCUUCAUCCAUAUCAAUAUGUAUUGAGAUUUUUUCAUGAAAUUUCCCCUUGUAUGAUGCUCGGCCUGUUUAAUUUACUUCGAAUGGUGUGUUUUUAA